UGACAGUGUGUGCCCCCCCCAGAAACGGU
rnacentral:sRNA from 1 species